CGCAGGACCUGGCUCGGUGGGCAAUUCUCCGGCCUCGGGGCGGGCGUCCGGGCCCGCGCCGUCUGAGAUUAAGAAAUACAAUCUUAAAAAGCUGAAGCUGGAAUGUGAACCAGUAUUUCCAACUUUAAGCUGAAAUCAUCUGAAUUUAAAGAACACAUCGUGCCUGAACAUGCCAAGCUGAACAUGCUCAGAAUGUCCUUCCCACCUUGGCAGCCCCUGAAGCCCACCUCCUCCUGUUUGCCCUACUGGGAAAACCCCAGUCCUGGAUGACUCCAACAAUCAACCUUCCUGGCUCCAGCUCCCAGGCUGCAGAGAGCUGCUAGGGAAAACCACAGCAGAUGUACUGGCUGCAUUUCAACUACUUGGUCUCCAAAUUCAACCCGGUCCUCGAUGGUGCCCUAUAACACUACGGGUCACUGGCCCCAGCCCAAUGUAGCUCUCCGCACAUGAAAUUCUUCUUUCAAACCCCCAGACUCAUCAGUUCUCUUCUGCUCUCAGCAGGUGUUCCUACCUCUUGCUUCCUUAAGAAGCAUUUAAGGCCACCUUCAACUUCUGCCCUUUCUGUCCACACACUAGCCCCACAAAAUUCUACCUGUAGGUACAGCUAUCCUUUCCUUCUAGGCUCCUGCCUCGGAGGGAGAGGUGGACUGCCUGUUGUCCAAGGCUGAAUCUUCCUCCCUUCUGUUUUGGCUUUGGGAAAAGACAGACCUGAGUUCAGCCCCAGCUCUGCCACAAAACUAGCCACGUGGUUUAUGGCCACCAUGACUUGGCUCCCUGUGAUCAAGCUUUCCUGGGCUUUGUGGCAUUGCAGAGGACAGCACCUAUUCCCAGAAUGGGCAUUGUCACAUAAUCACAAUGUGACUGUUCAUUUUAAAAGUCACAUCCUUAUUAUAUGAUUAUGCAGCAAUAUGGUCCUGUUGUUAUGGGAACAUAUUAUUCCUGUAAUCCAAUUCUUAUAACUGUACAAAUAUUUGUGUUGGAGUUCCUGGGGGAGGGGGCUGGGAAUAGGGCAGUAGACAAAAAGCCUGAAAGGCACUCACACAAAGCUUCCCACCACUUGGCGGGACCCAAGACUGGACAGGCAGAAAACCACCCCUGCCAUCGCCCAAAGGCAUCCUUUGAAAGGGAGUUGGGAGAAGCUGAGAAGGCAUGCCACCUGCAUCCUCUGACCUAACGUCACCCGGUGUUCCUCACUGUGACCAGCCCCCUCGUCGCACUGCCAUGGACAGCAUUGCACAGAUGUGAGUGUGCCAGGUACUCACUCUGCCACCAGUGUUCAUCAACCCUCAAAUGCAGCAUUUCAAAGAAGCUUUCACUGUGUGAUCUCCAGCAAGCUGUUUCACCUUUCUGAGUUUGGUUGCCUCAUCUGCAGGAUGAGAAUGACGUGACCCUCUCCUCCCAGGGCAGUGGGAGGCAUGGAGGAGGGUAUGGAAUGUAGCCCUCCACAUGGCUCCUGGUGUGCGGGCAGCACACACGGAACAGUGCCUGCUGUUGCUCAUCUCAUUCCCUACCCACCCCAUCAGGAUGUGUGGCCUCUUCCAUCCCAUUAACUCCUCCUCCUCAACCUAUCAAUCCAUUCUAGUUUCUCAGCUCUGAAAUUAAAAUAAAACCAAAACCUCUCCUCACACCACAUCCAAUUCCCACCACCGUCUCCCUCUUCCUUUCUACAAUCACAUUUCUUGAGUAUUUCUUCCCUGACAAUGUCUACGCCUUUUUUUCCCGUUCAUACCUCAAAGCCCACUCAAGGCCAGCAGAGAUUCUCCUCAGAUUUACCAAGGAUGCCUGGGAAAGCCUAUUCUUAUAUGUACCUUAGCAGCACAAAUACAGAGGAAGCUGGCAGAAGACUGAGGGAUGUGUUGAAAGAAAGCAGCCCCAGUAGGGCUGAGACUAAGGUGUGGUGAGUGAGGCACCCAGGGUGCAAAGUUUCAGGAGGCGCUCACUCUCAGAGUUGUGCAAGAAUGAGCGCCUCCUCAAAUUCUGCAGCCAAGGCACCUAUUUGCCUUACCCUAGUCAUAGCCCUGCUUCUCAAAAUAAUCCAAAGUUUAGUUUAUUUCUAACACAAAAAGCAUACAAAAAAGGAUACCAUGCGGUCACUAAAAGGAAUGAAAUGGAUCCUUUCAUACAGCUUUUAUGCAGCUACUCCCUCUGGCCACUCGUUGCCAUAGGAACAGAGGCCCAGGGUCGCUGGAGGUUCUAACGUUUCAAGAGAAGUUGGAAAUGUUAAUUUUUAUGUGAAAGCUUAUGACUUU
rnacentral:lncRNA from 10 species